rnacentral:rRNA from 1 species
GUGAGGAAUAUUGGUCAAUGGGCGAGAGCCUGAACCAGCCAAGUAGCGUGCAGGAUGACGGCCCUAUGGGUUGUAAACUGCUUUUACACGGGGAUAAAGUGUGCGACGUGUCGUUCAUUGCAGGUACCGUGCGAAUAAGGACCGGCUAAUUCCGUGCCAGCAGCCGCGGUAAUACGGAAGGUCCGGGCGUUAUCCGGAUUUAUUGGGUUUAAAGGGAGCGUAGGCCGUCUGUUAAGCGUGUUGUGAAAUGUAGAUGCUCAACAUCUGAAUUGCAGCGCGAACUGACCGACUUGAGUGCGCAGGAAGUAGGCGGAAUUCGUGGUGUAGCGGUGAAAUGCUUAGAUAUCACGAAGAACUCCGAUUGCGAAGGCAGCUUACUAAGCUACAACUGACACUGAAGCACGAAAGCGUGGGGAUCAAACAGGAUUAGAAACCCCAGUAGUCC